GACGAACGCUGGCGGCGUGCUUAACACAUGCAAGUCGAACGGAAAGGCCCUGCUUUUGUGGGGUGCUCGAGUGGCGAACGGGUGCGUAACACGUGAGUAACCUGCCCUUGACUUUGGGAUAACUUCAGGAAACUGGGGCUAAUACCGGAUAGGAGCUCCUGCUCCAUGGUGGGGGUUGGAAAGUUUCGGCGGUUGGGGAUGGACUGGCGGCUUAUCAGCUUGUUGGUGGGGUAGUGGCUUACCAAGGCUUUGACGGGUAGCCGGCCUGAGAGGGUGACCGGCGACAUGGGGACUGAGAUACGGCGCAGACUCCUACGUGAGGCAGCAGGGGGGAGUAUUGCACAAUGGGCGGAAGCCUGAUGCAGCAACGCCGCGUGCGGGAUGACGGCCUUCGGGGUGUAAACCGCUUUCGCCUGUGACGAAGCGUGAGUGACGGUAAUGGGUAAAGAAGCACCGGCUAACUACGUG
rnacentral:rRNA from 1 species